GUCGAACGGCAGCAUGGGUGCUUGCACCUGAUGGCGAGUGGCGAACGGGUGAGUAACAUAUCGGAACAUGUCCGGAAGUGGGGGAUAACGUACCGAAAGGUACGCUAAUACCGCAUAUGCCCUGAGGGGGAAAGGGGGGGAUCGAAAGACCUCUCGCUUUCGGAGUGGCCGAUAUCGGAUUAGCUAGAUGGUGAGGUAAAGGCUCACCAUGGCGACGAUCCGUAGCUGGUCUGAGAGGACGACCAGCCACACUGGAACUGAGACACGGUCCAGACUCCUACGGGAGGCAGCAGUGGGGAAUUUUGGACAAUGGGGGCAACCCUGAUCCAGCCAUACCGCGUGAGUGAAGAAGGCCUUCGGGUUGUAAAGCUCUUUCAGCCGGAAAGAAAACGUGCGGGUUAAUAACCCGUAUGGAUGACGGUACCGGAAGAAGAAGCACCGGCUAACUACGUGCCAGCAGCCGCGGUAAUACGUAGGGUGCGAGCGUUAAUCGGAAUUACUGGGCGUAAAGCGUGCGCAGGCGGCUUUUUAAGCCAGAUGUGAAAUCCCCGGGCUCAACCUGGGAACUGCAUUUGGAACUGGAAGGCUAGAGUGUAGCAGAGGGGGGUAGAAUUCCACGUGUAGCAGUGAAAUGCGUAGAUAUGUGGAGGAAUACCGAUGGCGAAGGCAGCCCCCUGGGCUAACACUGACGCUCAUGCACGAAAGCGUGGGGAGCAAACAGGAUUAGAUACCCUGGUAGUCCACGCCCUAAACGAUGUCAACUAGGUGUUGGGGAAGGAGACUUCUUUAGUACCGUAGCUAACGCGUGAAGUUGACCGCCUGGGGAGUA
rnacentral:rRNA from 1 species